CAUAUGUUGAGGAGGCGGUGACCGUGGCGGUGGAGGAGGAGGAUGAGGUAGCCAACACUGUUUUUUAUAUAUAUAAAUAUAUAUUUUUUAAUUGGGUAGCCCCCAAAAUAUUGGGACAUAUAAAAAAAGACAAGUCUGUUCCGCAGAGUAGCUGUUGACAUUAUAGUUGCGCAGGCACUUUGUUGACUCUAGAGAACCUCAGGCCAAUCGCACAUCCCCAUGGCGGCGACUUUGCAUGCGGAUGUCAUCCAUAUCAACUUUCGAUGCCAGUUUCUGCGCCUACCAUGGUGACUAUGGGUAACGGGGAAUCAGUGUUCCAUUCCAUACAGGGACCCUGAGAAACGGCUACCACAUGCAAGGAAGGCAG
rnacentral:rRNA from 1 species